AAACGAUGCCGAUGUCGUGGUGCCGAAUAAUGGCGACGCGAAAGAGAAAUCGAGUAGGGCCCUGGGGAGAGUACACGCGCAAGCGAGAAAUUUAAAGGAAAUUGACGGAAGAACACCACAAGGAGGGGAGUGUGCGGCUUAAUUUGACUCAACGCGGGACAACUUACCGGGCCCGACGACCGUAAGAGUGUGACACACGAUAGGUCGAAGAGUGGUGCAUGGCCGUUAACGACGAGUGGAGUGAUCUUUGGGUUAAGUCCGUAAAUUAGUGAGACCUCAGCCGUAAGGGACAGGUGCGCAAAGCACAGGAAGGAUGGGUCAAGGACAGGUCAGUGAUGCCCUUAGAUGGUCCGGGCUGCACGCGCACUACAGUGGUCGCCGAAAUUAGCUGAUAAUUUUAAAGGUGAUCGAGAGGGAAUGAGCUUUGUAAGAGGCUCAGGAACGAGGAAUUGCUAGUAAUCGCGGACUCAUUAAGACGCGAUGAAUACGUCCCUGUUCUUUGUACACACCGCCCGUCGUUAUCGAAGAUGAAGACAGGCGCGAACGAUCUACCAGAAAGUGAGCGCAGGUCUUUAGAUCUGAUACAAGUCGUAACAAGGUAGCUGUAGGUGAACCUGUAGCUGG
rnacentral:rRNA from 1 species